rnacentral:rRNA from 1 species
GGCCUUGACAUACUAAGAACUUUCCAGAGAUGGAUUGGUGCCUUCGGGAACUUAGAUACAGGUGCUGCAUGGCUGUCGUCAGCUCGUGUCGUGAGAUGUUGGGUUAACGUCCGCAACGAGCGCAACCUUUUCCUAUUUGCCAGCGGGUAAUGCCGGGAACUUUAAGGAUACUGCCAGUGACAAACUGGAGGAAGGCGGGGACGACGUCAAGUCAUCAUGGCCCUUACGGCCAGGGCUACACACGUGCUACAAUGGUCGGUACAAAGGGUUGCUACCUCGCGAGAGGAUGCUAAUCUCAAAAAGCCGAUCGUAGUCCGGAUCGCAGUCUGCAACUCGACUGCGUGAAGUCGGAAUCGCUAGUAAUCGCGGAUCAGAAUGCCGCGGUGAAUACGUUCCCGGGCCUUGUACACACCGCCCGUCACACCAUGGGAGUUUGUUGCACCAGAAGUAGGUAGUCUAACCGCAAGGAGGACGCUUACCACGGUGUGGCCGAUGACUGGGGUGAAGUCGUAACAAGGUAAGCGUAGAUGA